rnacentral:rRNA from 1 species
GACAGAGGGUGCAAGCGUUGUUCGGAAUUAUUGGGCGUAAAGGGCGCGUAGGCGGCGGAGCAAGUCAGAUGUGAAAUCCCUGGGCUCAACCCAGGAAGUGCAUCUGAUACUGCUUUGCUUGAAUCCCGGAGAGGGUGGUGGAAUUCCUGGUGUAGAGGUGAAAUUCGUAGAUAUCAGGAGGAACACCAGUGGCGAAGGCGACCACCUGGACGGAGAUUGACGCUGAGGCGCGAAAGCUAGGGGAGCAAACAGG